GACGAGCCACACAAACGUUAUUCGGAAUCACUGGGCUUAAAGGGUGCGUAGGCGGCGCGGAAAGUGGGGUGUGAAAGCCCUCGGCUCAACCGAGGAAUUGCGCUCCAAACUACCGUGCUUGAGUGAGACAGAGGUAAGCGGAACUUCGGGUGGAACGGUGAAAUGUGUUGAUAUCCGAAGAAACACCGGUGGCGAAAGCGGCUUACUGGGUCUCAACUGACGCUGAUGCACGAAAGCCAGGGUAGCAAACGGG
rnacentral:rRNA from 1 species